CUCCACGGCUCUCCGUUUUAACUUCAACUUCCCCGCUGCCCCGGCUUGUAUACUGGCCGACUGACAUCGGAGGAGAUGACGUCACCAGAGACCUGCAGAAAUCUACCAUGGGCGUAUACGUCAUCAACAAGGAUGGUGGAGAACCUGGACAUUAUGACGACGUUGGGAUUUUUGUUGAAGGACUAAUCAUUCUGGACAACAUUGGAUCUGUAGCCCGAGCUUGUGCCAUCAUGCUGGGAGUCAUCUAUACACUGAACAUGGCUUACCCCAAAGAGCUAAGGUACUACUAUGAAUUCAUUCAGAAAGUGCUCUUGCAAAUGGAUGGUGAAAGGCUUUCCCCCAAAGUCCUUGGACUGAAGAACAAGAUACAUG